UACGUAGGGUGCAAGCGUUAAUCGGAAUUACUGGGCGUAAAGCGUGCGCAGGCGGUUAUGUAAGACAGGUGUGAAAGCCCCGGGCUCAACCUGGGAACUGCAUUUGAAACUGGCGGGCUUGAGUAUGGCAGAGGGGGGUGGAAUUCCGCGUGUAGCAGUGAAAUGCGUAGAGAUGCGGAGGAACACCGAUGGCGAAGGCAGCCCCCUGGGCCAAUACUGACGCUCAGGCACGAAAGCGUGGGGAGCAAACAGG
rnacentral:rRNA from 1 species